UACGUAGGGUGCAAGCGUUGUCCGGAAUUAUUGGGCGUAAAGAGCUCGUAGGCGGUUUGUCGCGUCGACUGUGAAAACCCGAGGCUUAACCUCGGGCCUGCAGUCGAUACGGGCAGACUAGAGUUCGGUAGGGGAGACUGGAAUUCCUGGUGUGGCGGUGAAAUGCGCAGAUAUCAGGAGGAACACCGGUGGCGAAGGCGGGUCUCUGGGCCGAUACUGACGCUGAGGAGCGAAAGCGUGGGGAGCGAACAGG
rnacentral:rRNA from 1 species